rnacentral:rRNA from 1 species
GAUGAACGCUGGCGGCGUGCUUAACACAUGCAAGUUGUGCGGGGAUCUGUUAAUGAGACUUCGGUGGAUUUAUCAGAUCUUAGCAGCGGACGGGUGAGUAAAGCACAAGGACGUGUCCUUGAGAGGGGGACAACUGCGGGAAACCGUAGCUAAUACCCCGUAAGCCGAGAGGUGAAAGCGAAAGCGCUGAGGGAGCGACUUGUGUCCUAUCAGGUAGUUGGUGAGGCAACGGCUCACCAAGCCGAAGACGGGUAGCCGGACUGAGAGGUUGUACGGCCACAUUGGAACUGAGAGACGGUCCAGACUCC